rnacentral:tRNA from 1 species
GACGGUGUGGCUGAGGGGCCGAAAGCGUCCGUUUGCCUAGCGGAUGGGAUGGUAACGCAUCCCCGCGCGGGUUCAAAUCCCGCCACCGUCUCCA